ACGGCCCCCAGGCCACAGCUCAGAGGGGCGGGACCGCCCGGGCCGGGGCGGGGCCAGGGCGGGGCCUGUCACCAGGGAAACCGCCCUCCUAGUGUCCGCGCGCGGCGGUUGAAUUGCGCCCAGCGAGACAACGGCCUGCGAACGCCAGUUAGGGGAGAGGCGUCUCGGAGACUCAGAGACACCAAGGCCCCUGCGACGAGGUGGCUGCCGCUAGGGGGCGUCAGGACGACGGACCGGGUUCGAGUUGGACCCGCCUUUUCCGCCCGCGCCCCAGGCCCGUGCAGUUCGGCAUUCGCGUCCGAGAGCGGGAAAGAAGCAGUGGCCAAGGCGCCGAUUUUAUUUGGAGAGAAGCAAGCAUCUUUGCCUCUUUGGAGUAGGAAAUUCUGACUUGAAAAAGUGGUGUGUGGUUGACUCUGUUUCUCACCAUGUCUUCUCACAAGACUUUCACCAUUAAGCGAUUCCUGGCCAAGAAACAAAAGCAAAAUCGUCCCAUCCCCCAGUGGAUUCAGAUGAAACCUGGUAAUAAAAUCAGGUACAACUCCAAAAGGAGACACUGGAGAAGAACCAAGCUGGGUCUAUAAGGAGUCGCACUUGAGAUGGCACACAUAUUUAUGCUCUAUCAAGGUCACGAUCACCUUACGAUAUCAAGCUGAAAAUGUCACCACUCUCUGGAUAGUUGUACAUGUUUUACUGGGAAUAUAUUUUUCUCUUUUUCUAUAUGUUCUGUGCUAGUAGGGUGGAUUCAGUAAUAAAUAUGUGAAAGCUUUUGUUUCAAAAAUGUCUCUGUCUAGAAACUGUCCCUUCAUUUAUUCAAUAAACAUCAGGAUCUGUGCUAUAUGUCAAACCCCUGGGUAAUGCUGAGGAUAAAUGCUAAGCCAAAUAGACCUUCA
rnacentral:lncRNA from 1 species